GUCGGGCCCGGGGGAAACGGGAUUCAAAGCAGAUUCUUGACUCUUUAUUUGCUUUUCCUACUAUGCCGCCGGUCAGGUGUUCACACCUCCCUUAGUUAGAAGUUGUUUACUCGGUUGCAACCCGGUUUGGUUUGGAUCAUAGGUCAAGGUAUGGUUGUGUGCAUUCUCAUCCCAAUCUUUCGUGUUCGAGCCCUUAUGCUCCCUUGGCACAAUGCUUUGCCCCCUUUUACAGAAUGUUAGUGUAUUGAUUGCUCUCUGGUGGAUGAUCUUAAGCUCACCAAGGACAAGCUGUUAUGGGCUUGAGAGCAGUGUUUCUCCAAGAGUGGUAGAGACCACCUGCGACAGGGCCAAGAGAGGUGCAUGCUAAAGCCAGACUUUGGACUCAGAAUCUGAGACCUAGAAAUUGGCGUUUUUAACAAGUUUCCUUAGUGAUUUAGUGUGCAUUUAAACAUGGAUGGGUCCUAAACUUCUGCAUUUGUACAAGCUCUCAUGGACCGCACUUUGGCUAGCAUGGCUCUAGAGAGGGUCACAGUGUAUUCAGGGAGAGAAAGUUAAUACUACAGCUGAAAGUGAGAACAGUACCUGAACAGACCCCUAGGGAAAGCAAGGAGAACUUGUUGGGAAGGCCUGGUGCAAACAUAAAGAUCCCUUCUUAGAGGAUAUUCAGAAUAGUUCAAACUUUACUGAUCUUUUACCGUACUCUAGGCUUUGCUUAAAUAUUUUUAAGUAUUAACUCAUCCAGUUGACAUAUCAAACUAUGAAGUAGGUACUAUUAGCCUCAUGCAUCAGAAGAGGAACAUGAGGCAUAAACCUAAAAUAACUGCUCAGGCUAAACAGCUUCUAAGGAAAGGAGUUUGGAUUGGACUCACUCCAAAUCUUGGGCUUUUAAUCACUGUACUCUUUGUUAACCAGGGAAAGGGAGAGGUUAUGGACAGUGGCAGGUUGAGACAUUUUAUAAGGGUGGGGGUGUGAAAUACUAAUCUAAAAAGGUUGAUUUUAUCCUGUUGGCAGAAGGGAGCCAGAGGAAGCUUUUAGACUGCGGGAGUGAAUGACAGAAAUGGCUUUCUUGCUUGAUUUGUGGUAGUUCCCAAGCCAGCCUGAAACGAGAUUGCAGAUGCCAUGGAAAACAAGAUUAAUGCAAUAGUCUAGUAAACAGCAAUGUUAUAAAAAGCAAAAGGUGGCAUUUAAAUAUAUCUUGAAGAGAACACAGGAGGUUGCCAGACAGUGCAAAAGAAGGAGACUGAAGGCAGAGGUGACUUGCAAGAAGAAGGUACCAAAUUGGAAGAUUAGGAUACAGCAGGAUCACGGAGGAUGUAUGGGUGUCAACAGUGUAAUAGAAACUUGAAACCAGAAAGACAGAUGAUAGCCCUUCCUGACCAAGAAAAUGGAUUUGUUCUUACAGACUGUGGGGAGUUAGCAUAUGUUUUUAAGCAGAGAAGUGACAUCUUUUUUUAAAGAUUAAUGUUGGCCUCAGUGUUGAGAACGGAUUGGGAAUUAUUCUCCAGGGCCCCAGGUGGCUGACAGGCCAGUAAGGAGGCUGUUAAAACAGUCUGAGGAAGAGGUGGUGGUAGUCAGGGACCUCAACAAGACAGAUCUGGCAGCUUAUGUCCUGAGAAAAGAGUGAAGAACAGCCAGAAUUCUAAGAAAAAUGUUAAGCUUCUGGGUUCAGAAUGUGAGUGGUACUACUAAUUAAGAUGAGAAUAUAAAGGUUGGGUAAAUUUUAGGAAAAAGAUAUUUUAUGCUGAAUGGGCAGCCAUAUUUAACUAGGAGGACCCUAAGCACAUUCAGAUAAAGAUCAUAAUAUAGGUGAAAAAAAAAACUGGCAUACAAGAAAAACAGAAUCUGAAUAUU